AUUGAACGCUGGCGGCCGGCCUAACACAUGCAAGUCGAACGAGUGGCGGACGGGUGAGUAAUGUCUGGGAAACUGCCUGAUGGCGGGGGAUAACUCCUGGAAACGGUAGCUAAUACCGCAUAACAUCAGCUGUGCCAAGAUGGGAUUAGCUUGUAGGUGGGGUAACAGCUCACCUAGGCGACGAUCCCUAGCGUGUCUGAGAGGAUGACCAGCCACACUGGAACUGAGACACGGUCCAGACUCCUACGGGAGGCAGCAGUGGGGAAUAUUGCACGAUGGGGGCAAGCCUGAUGCAGCCAUGCCGCGUGUAUGAAGAAGGCCUUCGGGUUGUAAAGUACUUUCAGCGGGGAGGCGUUACCCGCAGAAGAAGCACCGGCUAACUCCGUGCCAGCAGCCGCGGUAAUAC
rnacentral:rRNA from 1 species